GUCGGUAGUCAGGGCUCUUGUUCUCUCUGGUAUCAGCCAUUCCUCCAGCCUGCAGACCCAACUCAUCCAUUCUUGCCCGGAGACAAAGUUCUGGUGAAACAACUGGCUGCCCGCCACAAGACUGGUCCAAUAUACCAAGGUCCAUUUGAGGUUCUAAGAGUUGCUCGAACGGCUGUCCUUACUGACCAGAGUCCACAGUGGAUACACGCCAGCCGGCUCAAGAAGACACCGGAAGGAGUCCUCAAGGAAUUCCCCGGACAAGCAUGAGUCCUUCGGACAAGAUGCCUUCAAAGGAAAUUACUUUGAUCAUACCCCCAAGCCUGCAAAGUAGAUAUGAGCGAUGGCUAAGAGGCUAUCCUAAACCACUUUGUCCAGAGGAUCCAAAGACUAUGCAGGACUUGUAUGAGGAAGAAUUUAUGUUCAGGGAGUAUACCAAUGAACUAGAGACUGAGGACUUGAAAGAUCAAAACUUUCCUGAACCGUUUAGUAAGCAGAUGAUUCAGGUGAAUAUGUCACCCUUAAAAAGAGAA